rnacentral:rRNA from 1 species
GACGAACGCUGGCGGCGCGCCUAACACAUGCAAGUCGAACGGAGUUAUUUCAGCAGAAGCUUUCGGGUGGACGCAGGGAUAACUUAGUGGCGAACGGGUGAGUAACACGUGAGGAACCUGCCCUGGAGUGGGGGACAACAGUUGGAAACGACUGCUAAUACCGCAUAAUGCUUUUGAGCGGCAUCGCUUGAAAGCCAAAGAUUUAUCGCUGAAAGAUGGUCUCGCGUCUGAUUAGCUAGUUGGUGAGGUAACGGCUCACCAAGGCGACGAUCAGUAGCCGGUCUGAGAGGAUGAACGGCCACAUUGGGACUGAGAUACGGCCCAG